UGGGGAAUAUUGCACAAUGGGGGAAACCCUGAUGCAGCGACGCCGCGUGAGUGAAGAAGUAUUUCGGUAUGUAAAGCUCCAUCAGCAGGGAAGAAAAUGACGGUACCUGACUAAGAAGCCCCGGCUAACUACGUGCCAGCAGCCGCGGUAACACGUAGGGGGCGAGCGUUGUCCGGAAUUACUGGGCGUAAAGGGUGCGUAGGCGGUCUGUUAAGUCAGAUGUGAAAGACCUGGGCUCAACCCGGGAUGUGCAUCUGAGACUGGCGGACUUGAGUGCAGGAGAGGGAAGUGGAAUUUCUAGUGUAGCGGUGGAAUGCGUAGAUAUUAGGAAGAACACCAGUGGCGAAGGCGGCUUCCUGGACUGUAACUGACGCUGAGGCACGAAAGCGUGGGGAGCGAACAGG
rnacentral:rRNA from 1 species